rnacentral:sRNA from 1 species
AUCAUAAAAAAAGCCAGGUAAAUCAUUUACCUGGCUUAGGGAAAAGGCUCAUUGCGAGCCGUGCGCUAAAAAGUGAUACUGAAUGAGAAAAUAGCGUGUAAAAAACUGCUUAUGCCACAUCUAUUUCACAACCUUAUUGUUAAAUAAUAGCUAACAAUAUGUAAAGAUCCAGUAA